rnacentral:rRNA from 1 species
GAUGAACGCUGGCGGCGUGCCUAAUACAUGCAAGUCGAGCGAACAGACGAGGAGCUUGCUCCUCUGACGUUAGCGGCGGACGGGUGAGUAACACGUGGAUAACCUACCUAUAAGACUGGGAUAACUUCGGGAAACCGGAGCUAAUACCGGAUAAUAUAUUGAACCGCAUGGUUCAAUAGUGAAAGACGGUUUUGCUGUCACUUAUAGAUGGAUCCGCGCCGCAUUAGCUAGUUGGUAAGGUAACGGCUUACCAAGGCAACGAUGCGUAGCCGACCUGAGAGGGUGAUGGGCCACACAGGAGAUGAGCCACGGUCAAACCUCCUAAGGGGGGCAGGAGUGGGGAAUCUUCCGCAAGGGGAGAAAGCCUGACGGAGCAACGCCGGGUGGGUGAAAAAGGGCUUCGGAUCGUAAACCUCUGUUAUUAGGGAAGAACAAAUGUUAAAGUAACCAUGCACGUCUGAGCGGUACCUAAGCAGAAGGCCACGGAGAACUACUG